UACGAAGGAUGCAAGCGUUAUCCGGAUUCAUUGGGUUUAAAGGGAGCGUAGGUGGUCUUAUAAGUCAGUGGUGAAAUCUCGCAGCUUAACUGCGAAAUUGCCAUUGAUACUGUAGGGCUUGAGUACAGUUGCUGUGGGCGGAAUAUGACAUGUAGUGGUGAAAUACAUAGAGAUGUCAUAGAACACCGAUUGCGAAGGCAGCUCACAAAACUGUAACUGACACUGAGGCUCGAAAGUGCGGGGAGCAAACAGG
rnacentral:rRNA from 1 species